CCCAAGCAAAUAGAUUUACUGAAGAGAUGGGUUUCCGAUUUUUGGAAAUAGAAUACGAUUCCUCAUUAGUGAUAAAGAAAUUUGGGUGACAUGCAUUGACAAAUCGGUGAUUAGUAAUAUUAUUUGGUACGCGAAAUAAUUCUCAGUGGGUUUUAAAAGAAUUAAGUUCCAACAUAUCAAGAGAGUGGGGAAUCAAAUAGCUCACCUGCUCACCAAGGAUAGAUUUCAUCGUAAACAAGAUGUCUGGUAGAUUGGAGAAGCCUCGACGGUGAUUCAGGAGAUGACGGAGGCAAAUCAGCAAUACUUUCAUCGUCUCAGAUGAGUUUCCAGUGGUUCCAUGGGAAUGUAAUUUUGGGGGUCCUGUGAUUCCUAUUAGCUGGAAUUUGUUCGAUUGGGUAUGAUUCCAAUGAGUGGUAACAUCAGGAAUUGGCAGCGGAAUUUCGAGCUGGAUGUUGGGAUUUUAUUUGUUCAUAAUUCAAAUAGAUGAGAUUAUUUUACGUGGAGUUUGAACAAAUUGUGGCAUGUUGAGGACCUUGUUUUCUACCAGGGAGCUCUAGCUUUGGUGCUUGGGAAUUUUCCUUCUUAUUUUAACUUCAUGUUGGUUGAAAGUAGAGGUCAUCAUGGGCCGGGCCGGACCCAAAAAAAAUUUUGGCCCGCAUCUUAGGCUCGGCCCGGCCCGAAAUAUGGGCCAAAAAUUUUAUCCAGGCCCGGCUCGGGAAAAAUUCUUAAGCCCGAGCUCUGCCCGGUCUAUUUUUUAAUAAACACCAAAAAUUUAUUUUAAAAAUAAAAAAAGUAUUUUAAAAAUAUUUUAAAAUUAAAAAAAUAAAUAAAUAUUUAUUAUAUAUUCAGGCCAGGCCGGGCCGGGCCCGGGCCAAAAAAUUGGUGCCCGAGGCCCGGACCAUUUUCUAAACGGGCCUCAUUUUUUUACCCAAACUCAUAUUUCGAGUCUAUAUUUUUACCAGAACCCUCCCAUAUUUCGGGCCGGGCCGGGACGUUAGGCUUGAAAGGGAAGAGCAUUUUUGUCAGCUUCUUGGAGUGAUGUGGUGGUUGCUUGUGCCUGUUUUUACUGAUGGAAGAGAAGGCCGAGUUCGGAUGGUAUUAAUUUUUAGAAAUUUCAGAAAUGGAAUAAAGAACAUACUUUUUUUUUUUACUUGAAUAUAGAUUAUUAAUUUUAAUAUUCAAAAUAUUCUUUUAAGUAAUAAAAUGACAUUCCAAGUUACAAUA